rnacentral:rRNA from 1 species
UACGGAGGAUGCGAGCGUUAACCGGAUUUAUUGGGUUUAAAGGGUGCGUAGGCGGGAUGCCAAGUCAGCGGUAAAAAUGCGGUGCUCAACGCCGUCGAGCCGUUGAAACUGGCGUUCUUGAGUGGGCGAGAAGUACGCGGAAUGCGUGGUGUAGCGGUGAAAUGCAUAGAUAUCACGCAGAACUCCGAUUGCGAAGGCAGCAUACCGGCGCCCUACUGACGCUGAGGCACGAAAGCGUGGGUAUCGAACAGG